rnacentral:rRNA from 2 species
UCGAGCGGACAGAUGGGAGCUUGCUCCCUGAAGUCAGCGGCGGACGGGUGAGUAACACGUGGGCAACCUGCCUGUAAGACUGGGAUAACUCCGGGAAACCGGGGCUAAUACCGGAUAAUUCUUUCCCUCACAUGAGGGAAAGCUGAAAGAUGGUUUCGGCUAUCACUUACAGAUGGGCCCGCGGCGCAUUAGCUAGUUGGUGAGGUAACGGCUCACCAAGGCAACGAUGCGUAGCCGACCUGAGAGGGUGAUCGGCCACACUGGGACUGAGACACGGCCCAGACUCCUACGGGAGGCAGCAGUAGGGAAUCUUCCGCAAUGGACGAAAGUCUGACGGAGCAACGCCGCGUGAGUGAUGAAGGUUUUCGGAUCGUAAAACUCUGUUGUUAGGGAAGAACAAGUACCGGAGUAACUGCCGGUACCUUGACGGUACCUAACCAGAAAGCCACGGCUAACUACGUGCCAGCAGCCGCGGUAAUACGUAGGUGGCAAGCGUUGUCCGGAAUUAUUGGGCGUAAAGCGCGCGCAGGCGGUUCCUUAAGUCUGAUGUGAAAGCCCCCGGCUCAACCGGGGAGGGUCAUUGGAAACUGGGGAACUUGAGUGCAGAAGAGAAGAGUGGAAUUCCACGUGUAGCGGUGAAAUGCGUAGAGAUGUGGAGGAACACCAGUGGCGAAGGCGACUCUUUGGUCUGUAACUGACGCUGAGGCGCGAAAGCGUGGGGAGCAAACAGGAUUAGAU